UAUUUCUUGCAAGAACAAGAGCAAAAUGGGGAAGAGCUCUUUCGGGAAAGUAACAAUUCAAAUCGACAAAGUUGUAAUGUUGGGAGCGGUUGCCGGCGAGUACACCCUGUUGCCUGAAAGCAAAAGUGGACCUCGAAAUUUGGAAAUAGAAUUUCAGUGGUCUAACAAGUAAGCAACCAUUGCAUUAGUAGGAGACCAGCCCUUCCCCCUG
rnacentral:misc_RNA from 1 species